GUGUGUGAGCCCACCUGCACUGCUGGGCUCCCAGGUGUGUGUGUGUGUGUGAGCUCACCUGCACUGCUGGGCUCCCAGGUGUGUGUGUGUGUGUGAGCCCACCUGCACUGCUGGGCUCCCAGGUGUGUGUGUGUGUGAGCUCACCUGCACUGCUGGGCUCCCAGGUGUGUGUGUGUGAGCUCACCUGCACUGCUGGGCUCCCAGGUGUGUGUGUGUGAGCUCACCUGCACUGCUGGGCUCCCAGGUGUGUGUGUGUGAGCUCACCUGCACUGCUGGGCUCCCAGGUGUGUGUGUGUGAGCUCACCUGCACUGCUGGGCUCCCAGGUGUGUGUGUGUGAGCUCACCUGCACUGCUGGGCUCCCAGGUGUGUGUGUGUGA